rnacentral:tRNA from 1 species
GGGAAUGUGGCUUAGUGGUAUAGUGCUUGCCUAGCAUACAUGAAAGCCUAGGUUCAAUUCCUCAGUACCA